rnacentral:lncRNA from 1 species
UAAAACUAUACAAAAACCUAGACCCUUAGACUUAGAGGAGGAGCCGUUUUUUGCAAGGGGGUACCCUUCAUCUUCCUAAGAAUUAACAUAUACACAAAAAACAAGAUCUCAAAAAAGGAUUCUAACCUAGACUCUAGAGGACCCGCCGCUGACACCCAUGAGCAACCCCCAUCUUCCUCUCUAAUACAAAAUAGCCCCGUAUUCCUUUUAUCACUAGGACCCUUCAACCAAACAGUCGUUUUCUAAUUUUGAGAGGAGACCUAAUGUAUCUUCUACACAAGACCUAACCUAGAAACCCUAGGAGCCCUCUCCUUCUUUUUCCUAAGAACAAACCAGCCGCAGGACCCUAGUAAAAAAGAACCCCCAGCCUUUUACCAUCUUCUUCUGCUGAGACCAAAAAAAAGACUUAGAGCAGCUAACACACACAAAGAGAACAGCCGCAACCCCACCAAAUCUCCGUCGAACCCCCACCUCCUUCGACCACUCCAGCCACCACCAAGGCUCGCCGGAAAUUAGCCACCCACCCGAAGAGAGAACAACGAACCAGCCUUAAUCUCUAACCUUCAGCAGCCAGAACCCCCCGCCGUUCAGAACUCGAUAGACGUCCAGCUCAAUCCUCCUUGUUCCAUCGUCUUCUCCAGUGAAGAGCCUCACCCCACCUCCUUCAGAAAAUCGAACCAGCCACCCCACCAUCUCCAAGAACUCCUCUGUCACUCUCACUUCAAUAAAUCUUUCUCCAUCUCUUAACAGACGCGCACACAAAAGGGCAAAGAAAAAAACAGAACAGAGAGGGAGAGGGAUUGGACGUGACAGUGAGGGAAAAGAGAUUCAAAAAACAAAAGAACAAAAAUGGAGAUUAUCACCUGAUUUCCUGUAAAACAUUCAUUACUGAAGGUGCACCUUCUUUUUAUAUAUGAUGAUUCAACAAUAUCUUGGUUUUGGUUUGUUUUCUUUAGUUGAAUAUUUAUUGGUUUUGAUUAGUUGUUCUUAUGUUUAGAACAUGUGCUAAUUUGAAUGAGAUUUUGUUGUUUGAGUGUUAUCAGUGAUUUUAAUGCAUUAUCCUCCAUUAUUGUGCUUAUAAUUUUAUAGUGUUGUGCCAAACGUGGACUUUAAAGUUAAUUAAAUUGGGUCAUAUAAGUCAAUACAUGGUUUACUAGGCAUGUUUAGGGUCUACGUCUUAUAUUGAUACAAAAUAAUAGGAUUUAGCUAUAAUAUCCCUUUCGUUUGCUUCAUUCUUUUCGAUUGGUUAUUUGACAUUUUAAUUUCUUUUGUUUCAGUUAUUCUCAUCCAGAUCUUUCACUUAUUAGAUAUUUGGGAUCAAACAAGCUGUUGAAAUAUUUUAUUUUAUUGCAGUAUAUGUUCUAGUUUUAUGUUUCUUGCUAAUUCUUGGCACAAUUUUUUCUUUUAUGUAUUUGAUUUACUACUUUGUUUGGCCGUGCUGCUAAGAAAGUGACACUUAGUGUCUUUGGAUUAUUUUUGAGUACUAACAAAAUCCCAAGCAAGAGCACUUAGAUAUUAGUCCGUCACUGUUCCAAAAAUUGACCCAUUUUUUUACAUUAAUUUCCGUAAGUCAUGGCCUCGCCGUAAUCUCAAACAUUAGGAAGAAUCAUGAACACAAUAUUAUGUUUUAGGCACGCUCUUAAUUCAUUAAAUUAUAGUGAUUAUGUACAUGUUCGCGUGACAUAAUUACGAUUUUUAAAAUUAAAACCAAGGAAUGCGUUCGCGCAAACUUAGGUAAAACAAUCUUAAUUAAUAAAGCGUGAUUAAUUGUGUACACGUACGCGUGACAUGAUUCUUGACGCGCCAAACGAAAUGAGUACACGUACGCGUGACUCGUUUUAAGAUAAUUCCAUAAUUAUGAAUAAUCAAGCAAUUAAAAGCGGUUAAGAGGGGUGAAAGCACAUAGGUUCUAAAAUGAGUAGGUAAACAAUUUUAAUAAGUCAGGUAUGAUCAAAGUGACCGUGCUAGAACCACGAAACUCGGGAAUGCCUAACACCUUUUUCCGGGUUAAUAGAAUUCCUUACUCGGAUUUCUGUGUUCACAGACCAUAAAUAAGAAUCAACUUCCUUGAUUCGGAAUUUUAAAUCUGUGACUUGGGAUACCAAAAUUAUCCCAAGUGGCGACUCUGAAUUUAAUAUAAAUAAUUCCGUUUUGAUUGUCACUUAAAUUGGAAAAAAUUCCCUUAUACCCUUUUCGGGGUGGUAAAAAGGAGGUAUGACACCUAUUGAGCGUGAGUGCUGAGUGUCAGCGUUGAUUGAUACGAGUUGAGUCAUGAGUGACUGAGAGGCUUGCACGAUGGGCUAUAUAUACAUGUAUACGAGUGAUGCUUUGCCUAAUGGGCAUGUUUAUGAACUUACUGGUUUCACUACUCCUUAAAGUAGGUUUCUAUUGAAUAUGUUGAUCUAAUUACUGAUUUCACUCAUAUUUCGACCGAGCCUCUAUUAAAAUGUUAAACAAAUAUUUUUAAACGACUUUCCUUAAACUAAAGUUUUUACCAGGUAUUUGGAUUUAGUCACUGAUUUGGCUGUAUACUUCCAGUGAAAUUUUUAAGUUACGAAAUGGUUAUAAAUUUCUGUUUGCCCGAAGGGCUGUAUACGAAUUAUGUUUUAGCUGAGGGGCCGAUUAUGAUUUUCACCACUUUCACUAUAAAUUUCACUGAACUUCUAUUGAAAACUAUUAGAAAGGCAUUUUAAAGGAUUUUUCCCGAAACGAGAGUCGAACGAGAUGAUUUGAUUUGUAUCCUGUUUUGGAAACAUGUGGUAUCCUCUGUGGUGCCAUGAUGUGGUUUACGUGAUUUCUUACUGCCCAGACUUUAUUUACUUUUAUUACUUAUUGAGUUGGCGUACUCAUUACUCCAUGCACUUUGUAUGCAGAUUUAGGUAUUUCUGAGCUCGGUGGCAGGUUCAUCGGAGUUAACAAGGUUGCUGUCUGGCGAUCGCAGCCCUGCUUUUCUCCCUCCUUAUUCUUCCUUAUGUAUUCUUGUGGUUUUCCCGACCAUAUUGGUCUUGAUAUUGUUAGACAGUUGUAGUAGAUGCUCAUGACUAGUGACACCCCGAUGCCGGGCUUGUGUAUUUAUUCCGCACUAUUUUUUUAAAUUUUCAUCAUGAGAUUAUUGAUUAAUAAAUAGUUUAAAAAUAACUUUUAUUGAA